UGGUCCGUAUAUGUUAGUGAGAAACCAUUGUGAUUUAUUUUUCAUUGUCGUGAAAUAGGUAGUGAUUGUGAAAUCUCCUAUAUGAAUUGCUGCUCCAUUAACUAGGGUUGGCUUCCAAGCAAUCAAUAAACCACCCGAUGAGCCUAUAGCCUCUUUGUAAUGCCAUUCUGUGAAGUUGAAGCUGCAAGCUGAUUUGACAAGGUUUAAGU
rnacentral:lncRNA from 1 species